UCCGUAGGUGAACCUGCGGAGGGAUCAUUACAGAGUGCCCACUGGCUCUGCAACCCUUGCGAACAUACGUGUUGCCUCGGCGGGGUCACCCGCCAGAGGCCACCCAAUACCCUGUUAGCCGUCGUCUUCUGACUGAGAUAUUAAAUUUAUAAAAACUUUCAACAACGGAUCUCUUGGCUCCGGCAUCGAUGAAGAACGCAGCGAAAUGCGAUAACUAGUGUGAAUUGCAGAAUUCAGUGAACCAUCGAGUCUUUGAACGCACAUUGCGGCCGCUGGUAUUCCGGCGGCCACGCCUGUCCGAGCGCCACACACCACCCUCAGGCCUUGCCUGGUGUUGGAGGGCCCUGGAGUUUUUUGCCCCAGGGCCCCCGAAACGACAGUGGCGGCGACGCUGACGACGCAACGCGAGCAGUAGUAACACUCUCGCGGGCCCGCAGCGCUGCCUGCCGGCUCCUUUUAGGGGCCGCAACAACUUAUCACAAGGUUGGCCUCGGAUCAGGCGGGAAUACCCGCUGAACUUAA
rnacentral:rRNA from 1 species